UUUAAAUUGUUUAUUGAACUCUAUCAUAAUCUCAUAAGAUGAGUUUGUUAAUUAAUAAAUUAUCUUGUGUUUGUGUUCAUAUGUAACAGAAAAAAAGUACAAAAAACAAAGAAAUUCGGAAGAAGAAGACAUUAAAUCACAUAACUGGCAGAAAAUCAUUCUCAGUUGUUCGAGUAGAGGAAACUAAUAAGAAGAAUGGAGUUCCUGCAACUCGCUUAGAGGUGUGGAUGGCUGGGUACACGAAGGAUAACAAACCAAGUAAUGAUAAAGUUGUUGAGGUCAUGACACAAAUGAAGGACCUUGGAGCGCAAUCCAAUGCU